UGUAGGACAUGGUGUAAUUUGGUAGCACGGAGGAUUUUGAAUUCUCAGGAGCAGGUUCAAUUCCUGUGGUUCUAG
rnacentral:tRNA from 1 species